rnacentral:rRNA from 1 species
UACGAGGGGGGCAAGCGUUGUUCGGAAUUAUUGGGCGUAAAGGGUGCGUAGGCGGUCUGAUAAGUCAUCUGUGAAAUCUAUGGGCUCAACCCAUAGUCUGCAGGCGAAACUGUCGGGCUUGAGUAUGGGAGAGGUGAGUGGAAUUUCCGGUGUAGCGGUGAAAUGCGUAGAUAUCCGAAGGAACGCCGGUGGCGAAAGCGACGUGCUGGACCCUUUCUGACGCUGAGGCGCGAAAGCCAGGGGAGCAAACGGG